GAGGCCAUAGCUCAGCUGGUUAGAGCACCUGCCUUUUAAGCAGGGUGUCCUGGGUUCGAGCCCCAGUGGCCUCACCA
rnacentral:tRNA from 1 species